GCUGGGUAUGGUGGCGCGUGCCUGUAAUCCCAGCUACUCGGGAGGCUGAGACAGGAGAAUCACUUGAACCCAGGAGGCAGAGGUUGCAGUGAGCUGAGAUCGUGCCACUGCACUCCAGCCUGGGUGACAGAGUGAGACUCCAUCUCAA
rnacentral:SRP_RNA from 1 species